CCCAGAUGGAAAAAACACAUUUACACCAAUGAUAAAGAAAGAGAGUGUUUAUUCUCUUUAUUUGAACUGUCCACAUCAACAGAACGUCAUAUUUCCUAUGACCAUUGAAUGCACCUCUCAGUUCACCCCACGUGACGGCACCUAGCUCAGCGACCAAUCAGAGCCUACGCAGGCCGCACUGACCCUGUCAGCCAGGAAGUGAGGUGAAGGUGCAUGGUGCUCCCGGGUUUUUCUCAUCUCAGCUAGAGGAGUGGAGGCAUCUGCUACUGAAACUGAGAAAUCCACGGACGAAAGAGAGGAAAAACUAAGAAUUGAGAGGAAGGAAAGCCAGCAUACUUACCUGCUGGAUGUCCGGAGUCGAGUAGCUGGAUGAAGGAGAGAAGCAGCGUCGGCUAACUACUCACUUUUCAUCCGGAGACCUGCUGCAGUUUCAACACCAGCGUGUGUUAGGCUUUUGUGAAACAGAGCAACGGUGAGCAACAUGUUCUUAGCUGCUCUAAAGCUAAUUGUUGUCAGUUCACUGUGAGUUUAAAGUAACAUGGAGGGUAAUUUUUAGUGCAUUUCUCUCUCACAAAUAGGCCUUUAGUGUGGAGAAAUUAAGCACACUGCUUUAAUACCUCUGAACUGAACUCACAUGUGUAUUUUAUUGCUUAUUUGCACAUAGUUCUGAAUUGUUAUGGUGUAUUGUAUUUUGAAUGUCAAUGGUUACUUACCAUAAGUAUUGUUUAAUUAAUGUUUACAUGAAUAGAGAAAUAUUUGAGCAACUUAGAUGUUUAGUUCUCAUAUUUGAUAUACUUGAAAAUUGAAUGUUGUACAACAGAACUGUGAGAUUUGAUAAGAUUUAAGAUGUUGAUGCAAUGAAUAUGAGGUUGAUGCAAUAUUUUGAUUUUACAUUUUAACCUUAAACAAUGCAUCUGAAAGAAAGUCUGAUUAGAAUGUACAUUUUAUGACCUGGAUUAUAGGUCAGGUUUUUGGAGAGGACAGAAAAGUCUGAGGACCAGGACAAAAUUCCGGUCGUGAUAGAUGGCGAGCCAACCACUUUGAGGACGAUCUACCCCAAAGAAGAUACACACCCACACACUCAUACAUUUCAAUUACACUCACAAGGACCUUUGAAGUUGGCUAUUGCCAACUUAACUCUAUAUCCUUAAAGGGCCCCAACGAGUACUUUCAUUUUCUUUAAGUGUGCACACUGUUUGUUUUGUUUUGUACUUUUUCCUGUACAGAUUGGACACUGUUUUUUUAUAUCUUGUAGCAAUACAAGAGUGGCUACUCAAACGUU